rnacentral:rRNA from 1 species
UGGGGAAUAUUGGACAAUGGGCGCAAGCCUGAUCCAGCCAUGCCGCGUGAGUGAUGAAGGCCCUAGGGUUGUAAAGCUCUUUCACCGGUGAAGAUAAUGACGGUAACCGGAGAAGAAGCCCCGGCUAACUUCGUGCCAGCAGCCGCGGUAAUACGAAGGGGGCUAGCGUUGUUCGGAUUUACUGGGCGUAAAGCGCACGUAGGCGGACUUUUAAGUCAGGGGUGAAAUCCCGGGGCUCAACCCCGGAACAGCCUUUGAUACUGGAAGUCUUGAGUAUGGUAGAGGUGAGUGGAAUUCCGAGUGUAGAGGUGAAAUUCGUAGAUAUUCGGAGGAACACCAGUGGCGAAGGCGGCUCACUGGACCAUUACUGACGCUGAGGUGCGAAAGCGUGGGGAGCAAACAGG